AGUGAACGCUGGCGGUAGGCCUAACACAUGCAAGUCGAACGGCAGCACAGUAAGAGCUUGCUCUUACGGGUGGCGAGUGGCGGACGGGUGAGGAAUACAUCGGAAUCUACUUUUUCGUGGGGGAUAACGUAGGGAAACUUACGCUAAUACCGCAUACGACCUACGGGUGAAAGCAGGGGAUCUUCGGACCUUGCGCGAUUGAAUGAGCCGAUGUCGGAUUAGCUAGUUGGCGGGGUAAAGGCCCACCAAGGCGACGAUCCGUAGCUGGUCUGAGAGGAUGAUCAGCCACACUGGAACUGAGACACGGUCCAGACCCCUACGGGAGGCAGCAGUGGGGAAUAUUGGACAAUGGGCGCAAGCCUGAGCCAGCCAUACCGCGUGGGUGAAGAAGGCCUUCGGGUUGUAAAGCCCUUUUGUUGGGAAAGAAAAGCAGCAGGUUAAUACCCCGCUGUUCUGACGGUACCCAAAGAAUAAGCACCGGCUAACUUCGUGC
rnacentral:rRNA from 1 species